ACAUGGAGGGAGCCAGCCCUGCAGCCUGAACAGGAGGCCUGAGGGGAGAGGUUAAAAUCUCAGCUGCCCAGAGAGAUGAUUACGGAGCCGCUCCCAAAUUAAGCUGCUUCACUGCUGAAAGCAAGACAAUGUACAUAAAUCACUGCAGAUGUCACAAAGAAGGUUGGGACUGAGGACUGAGAGAGUAUAAAGGAGGAAGAGAUUAUUUCUGGCUGGGGGAUCAGCACCAGCCCAUUUUCAGGCCAUGCACUGAGCCACAAUAAUACCAGCGUAUCUCAGUGGCAUAAGGAGCCGGGGAAGGAGUUGGGCCUUGCCUCCCGAAGGAUUCUGGUCAUGUAUCUGUGC